rnacentral:rRNA from 1 species
GACGAACGCUGGCGGCGUGCUUAACACAUGCAAGUCGAACGAAGUGGCGAACGGGUGAGUAAAGCGUAAUCAACCUGCCCUUCAGAGGGGGACAACAGUUGGAAACAACUGCUAAUACCGCAUACUGAAGGAGGGGAUUGCGUCGGAUUAGCUAGUUGGAGGGGUAACGGCCCACCAAGGCGGUGAGCAGUAGCCGGUCUGAGAGGAUGAACGGACAAAUUGGGACUGAGACACGGCCCAGACUCAUACGGGAGGCAGCAGUGGGGAAGCUGCCGCAAUGGACGAAAGUCUGACGGAGCAACGCCGCGUGAGUGAUGAGGGCCUUCGGGUUGUAAAGCUCUGUUAAUCGGGACGCGGUACCGGAAUAGAAAGCCACGGCUAACUACGUGCCAGCCGCCGCGGUAAUUC